UCUAAAAUAGCUCAGUUGGUAGAGCAUCAAACUAUAAAGCGAACUGUCUUUCGUUCGAUCCCGGGUUCCGGCA
rnacentral:tRNA from 1 species